CCUACGGGUGGCAGCAGUGAGGAAUAUUGGUCAAUGGACGAGAGUCUGAACCAGCCAAGUAGCGUGAAGGAUGACUGCCCUAUGGGUUGUAAACUUCUGUUAUAAAGGAAUAAAGUGAGGUAGGUGUGCGGUUUUGUAUGUACCUUAUGAAUAAGGAUCGGCUAACUCCGUGCCAGCAGCCGCGGUAAUACGGAGGAUCCGAGCGUUAUCCGGAGUUAUUGGGUUUAAAGGGAGCGUAGCUGGGUUGUUAAGUCAGUUGGGAAAGUUUGCGGCUCAACGGUAAAAUUGCAGUUGAUACUGGCAGCCUUGAGUGCAGUUGAGGUAGGCGGAAUUCGUGGUGUAGCG
rnacentral:rRNA from 1 species